rnacentral:rRNA from 1 species
UUGAUCUCAAAUCAGGUAGGACUACCCGCUGAACUUAAGCAUAUCAA